rnacentral:rRNA from 1 species
UACGUAGGUCCCGAGCGUUGUCCGGAUUUAUUGGGCAUAAAGCGAGCGCAGGUGGUUUAUUAAGUCUGGUGUAAAAGGCAGUGGCUCAACCAUUGUAUGCAUUGGAAACUGGUAGACUUGAGUGCAGGAGAGGAGAGUGGAAUUCCAUGUGUAGCGGUGAAAUGCGUAGAUAUAUGGAGGAACACCGGUGGCGAAAGCGGCUCUCUGGCCUGUAACUGACGCUGAGGCUCGAAAGCGUGGGGAGCAAACAGG